rnacentral:sRNA from 1 species
UGCCUAAACCUCUUAUGAGGCAUGGCAUAUAAGACCUAUCGCUGAUACUGAACCCCGUGUUCAGCGACUCAGCGAUGGGCUAUAUUCCGAAAGGUUUAUAGGGUCGUAAGACCU